rnacentral:rRNA from 1 species
AGGAAGGUAGUGUAGUUAACACCUGCAUUAUUUGACGUUACCUACAGAAGAAAGCACCGGCUAACUCCGUGCCAGCAGCCGCGGUAAUACGGAGGGUGCGAGCGUUAAUCGGAAUUACUGGGCGUAAAGCGCAUGCAGGCGGCCUGUUAAGUCAGAUGUGAAAGACCCGGGGCGUUAACCUCGGAAUUGCAUUUGUAAACUAGGCAGGCUAGAGUCUUGUAGAGGGGGGUAGGAAUUUCAGGUGUAGCGGUGAAAUGCGUAGAGAUCUGAAGGAAUACCAGUGGCGAAGGCGGCCCCCUCGGACAAAGACUGACGCUCAGAUGCGAAAGCGUGGGGAGUAAACAGGAUUAGAUACCCUGGUAG